rnacentral:rRNA from 1 species
UGGGGAAUAUUGCACAAUGGGCGCAAGCCUGAUGCAGCCAUGCCGCGUGUGUGAAGAAGGCCUUCGGGUUGUAAAGCACUUUCAGCGAGGAGGAAGGUGGUGAGCUUAAUACGCUCAUCAAUUGACGUUACUCGCAGAAGAAGCACCGGCUAACUCCGUGCCAGCAGCCGCGGUAAUACGGAGGGUGCAAGCGUUAAUCGGAAUUACUGGGCGUAAAGCGCACGCAGGCGGUUUGUUAAGUCAGAUGUGAAAUCCCCCGGGCUCAACCUGGGAACUGCAUUUGAAACUGGCAAGCUAGAGUCUCGUAGAGGGGGGUAGAAUUCCAGGUGUAGCGGUGAAAUGCGUAGAGAUCUGGAGGAAUACCGGUGGCGAAGGCGGCCCCCCUGGACGAAGACUGACGCUCAGGUGCGAAAGCGUGGGGCAGCAAACAGGAUUAGAUACCCUGGUAGUCCAGCGCUGUAAACGAUGUCGAUUUGGAGGUUGUGCCCUUGAGGCGUGGCUUCCGGAGCUAACGCGUUAAAUCGACCGCCUGGGGAGUACGGCCGCAAGGUUAAAACUCAAAGG